CCGGCCGGACUUCCGCGUGCGUCACUUCCGCCGCACAGGCCCGCCCACCCCGGAUGUCCGGCUCUGCGCCGCCAUCUGUGAGUGGCAGGCGAGGUGUCCGGCGGCUCUUCGCUGGGUCCACAGGCUGACGCUCUAUCCACCGAGCCAAACCAGCCAGGGCUCACAAUUGGUCUUGUCAGUGCGCAGUGUCCUAGUGCCCAUCGUCUGUUGCCCCCACCGGCCCUGUGCCAGGGACAUCUGGGCCCACUCAUCACCCUCCAGGUCUGCUGACCAGUGAGGAUGUCUGCCUUUGGCCACACCCACCCAUCUACCUGCCCCAGAUGCUCUGUGUCUAAGGACGAAUUGGAGUUGUCAUUUCCACUGGAUGUUUACGAUAAAGAUCGGACCUGUUUACACGUCUGUGGAGCAGCUCUUCCGUCUCCCAACUAUACAGUAAACUUUAGUGUCACCCUGUGGGGUUCCCGUG